rnacentral:rRNA from 1 species
AUUGAACGCUGGCGGCAGGCUUAACACAUGCAAGUCGAACGAGUGGCGGACGGGUGAGUAAGGUAUGGGGAUCUGCCCGAUAGAGGGGGAUAAGUAAUGGCAACGGUGGCUAAUACCGCAUACUAUCGUAUGAACCCCUGGGGGAUUAGGUAGUGUGUACGGUAAAGGCUCACCAACCGACGAUCUCUAUCUGGUCUGAGAGGAUGACCAGCCAUACUGGGAUUGUGACACGUCCCAUCCUCCUACGGUAGGCAGCAUUGGGGAAUAUGGCGCAAUGUGGGCAACCCUGACGCAGCCAUGCCGCUUGAAUGAAGAAGGCCUUCGGGUUGUAAAGUUCUUUCGGUAGCGAGGCGUUAACUACAGAAGAAGCACAGGCUAACUCCGUGCCAGCCGCCGCGGUAAUUC